GUCGCGUAUUACCGAUGCCUCGCAUGCUCUUUUCUUAAGAAUUUAAAACGGAAGGGGCUGGCGCGUACGCCUAGCCCCACUACCAAAAAUUACAUGCCCCACCUACCCCGGUUUGGGGUAGUGGCGUGCUUCAGCCCACCGCAGUGCAAUGGAAAAGGCCUCGGCACGGGACACCGGCCUGGAUGAUCACCGGGAG
rnacentral:lncRNA from 1 species